rnacentral:rRNA from 1 species
UACGGGGGGGGUAAGCGUUGUUCGGAAUUACUGGGCGUAAAGCGCGCGUAGGCGGCUUUGUAAGUCAGAGGUGAAAUCCCGGGGCUCAACUCCGGAACUGCCUUUGAAACUGCAUCGCUUGAAUCCGGGAGAGGUGAGUGGAAUUCCGAGUGUAGAGGUGAAAUUCGUAGAUAUUCGGAAGAACACCAGUGGCGAAGGCGGCUCACUGGACCGGCAUUGACGCUGAGGUGCGAAAGCGUGGGGAGCAAACAGG